GGGGGAUAUUGCACAAUGGGGGAAACCCUGAUGCAGCAAUGCCGCGUGAGGGAAGAAGGUCUUCGGAUUGUAAACCUAAGUAGCCAGGGACGAUAAUGACGGUACCUGGAGAGUAAGCUCCGGCUAACUACGUGCCAGCAGCCGCGGUAAUACGUAGGGAGCGAGCGUUGUCCGGAUUUACUGGGUGUAAAGGGUGCGUAGGCGGGAUGGCAAGUCAGAUGUGAAAUACCGGGGCUUAACCCCGGGGCUGCAUUUGAAACUGUCGUUCUUGAGUGAAGUAGAGGCAGGCGGAAUUCCUAGUGUAGCGGUGAAAUGCGUAGAUAUUAGGAGGAACACCAGUGGCGAAGGCGGCCUGCUGGGCUUUAACUGACGCUGAGGCACGAAAGCAUGGGGAGCAAACAGGAUUAGAUACCCUGGUAGUCCAUGCCGUAAACGAUGAUUGCUAGGUGUGGGGGGACUGACCCCUUCCGUGCCGGAGUAAACACAAUAAGCAAUCCACCUGGGGAGUACGGCCGCAAGGCUGAAACUCAAAGGAAUUGACGGGGGCCCGCACAAGCAGUGGAGUAUGUGGUUUAAUUCGAAGCAACGCGAAGAACCUUACCAGGUCUUGACAUCCAACUGACGAGGCAGAGAUGCGUUAGGUGCCCUUCGGGGAAAGUUGAGACAGGUGGUGCAUGGUUGUCGUCAGCUCGUGUCGUGAGAUGUUGGGUUAAGUCCCGCAACGAGCGCAACCCUUGUCAUUAGUUGCUACGCGAGAGCACUCUAAUGAGACUGCCGUUGACAAAACGGAGGAAGGUGGGGACGACGUCAAAUCAUCAUGCCCCUUAUGACCUGGGCUACACACGUACUACAAUGGCCAUUAACAAAGGGAAGCAAGACCGCGAGGUGGAGCAAAACCCCAAAAAUGGUCCCAGUUCAGAUUGUAGGCUGCAACUCGCCUAUAUGAAGUCGGAAUUGCUAGUAAUCGCGGAUCAGCAUGCCGCGGUGAAUACGUUCCCG
rnacentral:rRNA from 1 species